GCGAAAACUUUACAAUGCUGGCAACAGCGAUAAGGGAACCUCGAGUGCCAGGUUACAAAUCUGGCUGUCGAGAUGCCUAAAAAGCAUUUCAUAGCAAGGGCCGGGCAAGACCGGUGCCAGCCGCCGCGGUAACACCGGCGGCUCGAGUGGUAACCGUUAUUAUUGGGUCUAAAGGGUCUGUAGCCGGCCGGAUAAGUCUCUUGAGAAAUCUGGCAGCUUAACUGUCAGGCUUUCAGGAGAUACUGUCUGGCUCGAGGCCGGGAGAGGUGAGAGGUACUUCAAGGGUAGGGGUGAAAUCUUGUAAUCCUUGAAGGACCACCAGUGGCGAAGGCGUCUUACCAGAACGGACCUGACGGCAAGGGACGAAAGCUAGGGGCACGAACC
rnacentral:rRNA from 1 species